UGUGGACUAGUGGAGGGUUUUUGGUUAACCGUUUUUCUAGUCGGUACAGGGGGUGGAUUCGAAGAAUUAAUUGCUGAAGGAGUUGUAGGACUUAAAAGCUGGGUUGCAAAAUGAAUGCAAGACGAAAUUUAGAAGAUGGAGAAGAAAGGGAGAUUUUGUUGCUAUUGGAUGUUCUGAAUACUUAGAGCUAAAUGAUGAAAAUAAAAUAAUUUACGAGCUAAACUUUUGCUGUGAUUGGCGAUGAAUUCCGUCAUGGGGGGAAGGCAUGCAGUCUCUGAUUAUCAUCCCCUUGGCCCUUAGGCUUUUUAAAUGAGGCUUUUUCCGUCUUAAUAAUAUUUCUUGUUUCUCAUCAAGAAGAUAAAUGGAGUUAUCUUUUCAGCCUACCAAGCAAAAUUGUUUCUAAAAAAAAAAACUAUCACUAUCUAAAAGCAUUAGGAAUUAAAUUUACUGUAGUCAAGAAGAUGCUCAGUAACUGGAAAGCAUUUUUUACCUGUUUUGACACUGAAGCUUCGUUAAACCAAAAAAAAAGGAGACAACCUAUUGGUAGAAAGGUCUUUACAAUGAUGUAUUGAUGCCUACAAAAUUAUUUUUUUUGUCUAACAUGGUUCUGACUAGUACCAUAACUUCAAGUGCUUAAUUAUUAUCAUGCACUUAUUAUAUUGUUGAAAACAUGGUGUUAAUUAUCUAUUCCCUUCAACUGAUAUUUAUUUAUCAUUGCUUUAGUUUUGCGCAUGGAGCAAGAUGUUGAAAAGUUUAUUCAUGAUCCUGCUUGACAGCAGCUGCCUACUUCAUAUUUACGGUUAGCUGCGCAUCAGAUUGUCCAACAUUACUCGCUGCAAUCCAUGGUUCUAUUGGAUAAUAGUUUACCUGAUGGGUCUGGUUCCAAAAUUAUCGUUUGCGAUACUUCUGAAUGUCGUCUUCCAGCUAUCCGCCUUGCAGAUAUUCCUGUAAAUCUACCAGCAGAGGAAUAUAGUAGCAUAAAGGUUGCUAUUAAACAGAGGCCACAGAAGUGGUCCCAACUAGCAAGAGAUGCAAGUGCAAAUUCAUCAAAAACGAGGGAUUCCAAAAGUGUGGAAGAGAGGAAAGAGGAGUAUAAUAAAGCUAGUGCUCAAAUAUUUAACUCCAGCAGCAAUUCAGGCUGUCAUGCAAGUGAGAAAGUAGAUGCUGAUCCUAGACCACAGGAUAGUUAUCGUGGUUGUUUGAGUGCUGCAAAGGUUGAGGAGAAGAUGAUUCUUGGAGUUCCUGAUAUAAAUUUUAGUAGGGGUUUGAUUGACUGUUCCACGAGUAGCAGUAGAAUAAAUAGAAGGUAGGACUGACAAGGAGCUGCCUAGUAGGCAGUACAAACCAAAUAGUAGGGUAGCCAUUCUUAGAGAUCGUGAGAUUGGCAGCAAGGACCCUGAUUAUGACAGGAGUUAUGAUAGGUAUGAAAUGCAAUCCUUUAUUCUCUUGGUUUGAUCUCAAUGUGUGUGUAUAUACAUAUAUAUUUGCAAAAUCUCUCGUUUAAAAGGUCUAUCCAAAAACAUGUUCUAAAAGUUUUCUCGCUUCAAACUCUGUUUACGAACUCUUUCCAAAACACUUCUUGGACAUUUCUCUUUGUUUUUGUUGUUUUUCUUUGAAAAAUAAGAUAUUUUACAAAACUUCUGAAAAACUGCAUGAGCAAGGAUGUUGGCCACACACAGGGCAAUGAGCAGCAAGGCAACAUGCACCAUGGUGCGCGGAAGAUGUUGUCUUGGUGCCAUCUUUGCACAUGCGGAAGCGAACUUUCAAAUGGCAUUUACAAAGCAUUGUGGAAAACACUUUUUUUUCUUCCUAUUUUCUUCUAGAAAGUCUUUCCAGAACAUAUGUAUAUAUAUGUGUGUGUAUAUACAUAUAUAUUUGCAAAAUCUCUCGUUUAAAAGGUCUAUACAAGAACAUGUUCUAAAAGUUUUCUCGCUUCAAAUUCUGUUUACGAACUCUUUCCAAAACACUUCUUGGACGUUUCUUUUUUUUUGUUUUUGUUUUUUUCUUUGAAAAAUAAGAUAUUUUACAAAACUUUUGAAAAACUGCAUGAGCAAGGAUGUUGCCACACACAGGGCAAUGAGCAGCAAGGCAACAUGCACCAUGGUGCGCGGAAGAUGUUGUCUUGGUGCCAUCUUUGCACAUGCGGAAGCGAACUUUCAAAUGGCAUUUACAAAACAUUGUGGAAAACACUUUUUUUUCUUCCUAUUUUCUUCUAGAAAGUCUUUCCAGAACAUAUGUAUAUAUAUGUGUGUGUAUAUACAUAUAUAUUUGCAAAAUCUCUCGUUUAAAAGGUCUAUACAAGAACAUGUUCUAAAAGUUUUCUCGCUUCAAAUUCUGUUUACGAACUCUUUCCAAACACUUCUUGGACGUUUCUUUUUGUUUUUGUUUUUGUUUUUUUCUUUGAAAAAAAAUAUUUUACAAAACUUUUGAAAAACUGCAUGAGCAAGGAUGUUGGCCACACACAGGGCAAUGAGCAGCAAGGCAACAUGCACCAUGGUGCGCGGAAGAUGUUGUCUUGGUGCCAUCUUUGCACAUGCGGAAGCGAACUUUCAAAUGGCAUUUACAAAACAUUGUGGAAAACACUUUUUUUUCUUCCUAUUUUCUUCUAGAAAGUCUUUCCAGAACAUAUGUAUAUAUAUGUGUGUGUAUAUACAUAUAUAUUUGCAAAAUCUCUCGUUUAAAAGGUCUAUACAAGAACAUGUUCUAAAAGUUUUCUCGCUUCAAAUUCUGUUUACGAACUCUUUCCAAAACACUUCUUGGACGUUUCUUUUGUUUUUGUUUUUGUUUUUUUCUUUGAAAAAUAAGAUAUUUUACAAAACUUUUGAAAAACUGCAUGAGCAAGGAUGUUGGCCACACACAGGGCAAUGAGCAGCAAGGCAACAUGCACCAUGGUGCGCGGAAGAUGUUGUCUUGGUGCCAUCUUUGCACAUGCGCGAACUUUCAAAUGGCAUUUACAAAACAUUGUGGAAAACACUUUUUUUUCUUCCUAUUUUCUUCUAGAAAGUCUUUCCAGAACAUAUGUAUAUAUAUGUGUGUGUAUAUACAUAUAUUUGCAAAAUCUCUCGUUUAAACAGUCUAUCUAAAAUUAUUUUCUAAAGGUUUUAUCGCUUUAAAUUCUAUUUACGAACUCUUUCCAACAUAUUUCUUGAAUUGUUGUCUUCCUUUGCGGUUUUGUUUUGUUUUCCUCAAAAAGAUGAUAUUUCACAUAACUUUCGAUAAACUGCACGAGCAAGGGUAUUGGCCACACAGGGCAAAUUUUAUUUUAAAAGGCCUAUCCAUUAACAGUUUCUAAAAGUUUUCUCACUUCAAAUUUUGUUUUUAAAAUCGUUUCAGAAUCUUUUCUUGAAGUUUCGUCUUCAACUUUUUUUAUAAAGAAAAAAAAAACAUUUCAUUCAACUUUCAAUAUACUCGGCGAGCAAGACAGCAUACAGUCGAUGUGUGGAAGACACAGCCUUGGUGCCACUAUGGCACAGGCAGUCAAACAAACUUACAUAAUAUUGUCUUACCUUUUUUCUCUUCUUUUUUUUUCUCUAAAAAACUCUUUCCAAAACACAUUUUCAAUUUAGAAAAAACACAUUCUCUCCAAUGUAGAUUUUGCAAAAUAAAUUCUGUGUAUAAAUAUUACUUGAGAGUGAAUUUUCACUUUUGUGUUUUUUCUAUAUCUUACAUUUAUCUCUUCAUGAUUAUUGGAUAUGUGCUGUAACUUUUCUCGUAUGUUUCCAUAUAAAUUACAAAUGUUGUAUAACAUUUAUCAAUGUAGAAAAAAUCUUAGGUGAUUAAAGGAAAGUUGAUUGUCCAGAAAUUACUUUUUCCUAUUUCAUCAUCAACCGACCUCAAGGCCUCCUAUGGUUGUUCUAUUUUUCAUUUUUAUUUUCUUGAAAUUAAGUCUAUAAACGCUCAUUCUACCUUUAGUUAUACGUUCUAAAAUUAUAUUAUAUUUUAGUUUGACUUCUUGUAUAUUAUUAUUUUGGUACAUUUCUACCAUUUCUACAUUUUAUUUGCACAUAAUUAUAUGUUCUUUUUAUAAUGAUAGAUAACUUCUUUGUUACAAUGUCCAGUUAUUUGACAAUCAUUCAUUUCUAGUUCUGAUUAAUUUUUCUUUGUUAUCACGGGGCACUUUACAGGUAUUUUUAUUUUACUUCUUUUGAUGGAUUUAUUUUUCUUUAGUUUUUCUUCCAACAUUUUCUCUCUCAUCUUUUUCUACUUUUCUUAAGUAUAUUAUUAAAUUUUAUAUCUCUGGAGUCUUGGUAGAAGUUAUUUAUUUUUGCGGUAGGGGUGAUUUCUCUUUUUUGCCCAUUCUGUUUUCUUGGUUCUCUUUCUUUUUUUAUACAAUGGUAACUGAAACAUUCAAAGCCUUGCUUUCGGCUUCCCUAGCUAGCCACAGUGAUGUAUUAUAUGCAAAUGGCAGUUUUCCUUUGGACACUGAGAAAAGGCAAAUGCAAAUGGCAACUGCACGGUACACCUUACAGGACAGUUUUUGAUGCUUUUGCAGGUAAUUUGUAUUAGUUGUGUUAUGUCUGGAAGUGAUUUUAUAUUAUUAUAGUUGUACUAGAUGUUCUAUCCUUGGGACGCAGAGAAAAGGCAAAUGCAAAUGAAGAGUACACACUGUCCUGGAUGAUACUUUGCAGGUAAUUUGUAUUAGUUGUUAUGUCUGGAAGCGAUUUUAUAUUAUCAUAUUGUUAGUUGUUAUAAGUAAUUCUGAAGUCUGACAAUGAUUAUUUAGAGUGAAAUCUGGGCAGGUUUGUUGGAGACAAACCGUCUGACAUACAUGAUUUAUGUUCUUUGUAGUUCUGUGCUCAUUGCCUAUGUGAGUAUAGUCUACUUUCUUGUCCUCACAAUCUUUUCCCAACCUUUUCAUGUCUUUCAUAUUUUGAACUGCAUUCAUGGUUUUCGUAUAACUAUAAUAGACGCUCUUAUUCUUUUACUGUGAAACCACUUUUAGUUAUCUAUUUGCAAUAUGCUGUAUGUUCUAUUAGACAGCUACUUGUAGGAGUAUAGAUGAUGAAAUAAACAGAUUUAUUUUGUUAGACGAAAUCUAGUUGAGGAAUUUGACGUUUUUCUUCCUUUAUGUAAAAUCCUAAUAUUAGAAAACUAAGCAAAAGCAGAAAUAGUUUGCAGAGCUGUAGCUUAGGAAUUAUUUUCCUCAAUUUGACUUGAUGUUUGACGCAGGUAUAUGGAUGGGUGAUGGAUAUAUUGCUUUUGAGUGAUUUUUCACUUUUGUAUUCAUUUCUCUUUACCAUUACGGGAUCUGUCUUAUAACCUUUCUCAUGAUUUUCUACGUGAAUUGCAAUUGUUGUAUAAUAUUUUAUCAUAUUAGAAAGAUAUGAGGUGAUUAAAGAAAAAUUGAUUGUCCGGAAAUCAAUUUUUCUUAUUACACCUCAUGUCAAUGCCCAAAUUCCAUAACCAUUUGGUUAUUGUUAUCUUAAAAUUUUGAAAAUUGAGUCUAUAAACACUCAUUCUACUAGAAUUAUAUCAUAUUCUUUAGUUUGAUAUCUUGUAUAUUAUUAUUUUGGUACAUUUCUUUUGUCUUAUUCGCACCAAAUACCACGUUUCUUUGUUUGUUUGCAUGUGGUGCUUUCAAGGUAUUUUUCCUUUACCUCUGUUGACAAAAAAAUAUUUUGUGUACUUCUUCUUGGUACAUUUUCCUUUUCUUCUCAUCAUUUGCUACUUUAUUUUAAAGUAGAUUAUGAAAUUUUAUUUAUUUAUUUUUGGUGGAUGAAUUUUUGUUUUUGUUUUUGUUUUUUUUUGCCAUUUAUGAUCUCUUGUUGGUUCUUUUUCUUUUUUGAUGUUAGUUUUUUUAGUUUUGGAUUUGAAUUGAUAUUUACUCCUUUUGAAUGUGGUCUUUUAUGAGAAGGUAAAAAAAUUUAUCUUACUUUUUAAUGCCAUUCAUUGUAAUUUUAUUUUUGGUAUCUUUUUUUUUUACUUCACUUGUGUAAUUUAUUUUUCUUGGAUGGUGAAAUUUUUUUCACCAUUUAGCUGUGUUUAGUUUCUUUUUAUGUUACAUUCUUAUUUUGUUUGCUUUCUCUAGUUUUAUUUUGUUUUUUUUUUCAAUUAUUUGUAAUUUGUUUUACCAUUUUUAUAAUAUUAUUUUCUUUAGGUCUAUUAUUAUCAGAUAUAUAUUUUGUGGUCAUGGUAGAUUUUUUCAUUAAGGAUAUUUUUUUAAAUUGCAAAAUAAAUUAAAAUAUUUAGUCUAUUGUAAAAUUUUGAAUUCUAUCAACGAUAAAAAUGAUAGACAUUUAUCACUGUCUAUUAUUGUUUAUUAUUGAUAGAAUCUAAAAUUUUGCUAUAUGUUGUAAAUAUUUUGUCAAAUUUGUCAUUUUUGACAUUUUCACUUUUCAUUAUCGUCAUGGAUUCUCUUUUUUCACACUUCGUCUCUUUUCUUUUAUUUAACCUUUCUUUAUGAAAUGUUGUAUCUUUCUGCUUUUCUCUCAAGUGAAAUAUUAGAUUUGGUACUUUUUCUUUUACUCAUUUGGUACAUUUCUUGUUGAACCAAGGUAUAAUUUGUUCUUCUUUGAUGGUUCAAAAUAAUCACUCUACGUUUGACUUUGGUUCUUUUAUUAUCUGGCACAACUUUUAUAUAUAGUUAUUUUCUUUGGUAAAUUUAUUAUAUUAUUAGAUAUAUUAAUUUGUUAGUUUUGUGUACUAUCCAAGGCAGUAAAGAAGUGUAGAAUGACAACUCCUUUCUAUUUUCUAAUUCACUUUUACAAAUAUUAGUUUUAGUAGUUUUUUAUUUUACUCAUUUGGUCAUAUAUUUCUUUUCUUUUGGAAUGGAUGUGUAAUUUUAUUUUUGUUGGAUGGUUUGAAAUAUUUAGGUUCAUGUUGUCAUUCUUCUAGUUUUAUUUUUGAAUAAUUAUAAUUUGUGACAAUUUUUAGAAUAAUGACUAAGUGUAGUAAUUAGAGGUUUAAGAAUAACUUGGGUAAUCCGACAACUUGGAUUAUCCAAUCCAUAUUAUAUGGGUUGGGUUGGGUUAGGUUAAAAUAUGGAUUGGAUUGGAUUGGGUUGGGUUGAAAAAAUGAAUUUUUUUUAGUUGGGUUUAGUCUCGGGUUGUAAGGUUGAAAAAUUCGAUCAUAUAUAUAUAUAUAUAUAUAUAUAUAAAUAAAUAUUCCUCUCUUCUCACUCUCAAUCCUCCUUUGCGCGUCGCAUCCCUUUUAUUCUCACAUCUCCUACGUCUUCGACAUCUCCUUCGUCUCUGACUUUCCUUCAUCUCUGACUCUCCUUGUCCUACUUAUCCCGCGCAUUCCUUAUAUUAUCACAUCUCCUCCGUCUUCGACAUCUUCAUUUCUAACUCUCCUCUAUCUUUGAUCUUCACAGUUCAUCUCGUUAGAUCUCAGAUCUCAUAUACUCGCAGUUCGACGUCAUGUUCUUCUUUGUCAAUCUCUUCAGCUUCUGAAUAACCCGACAAUCCAAUUUAUAUUUUAUGGGUUGGUUUAGAAACUUGAUUUAACCCAAAUAACCUAAAAGUAUGGGUUUGGUUGAGAUGUUUCUCAACCCAACCUUACUACACCCUUAACAGCAACUUUUUUAAAAAUUGCAGAUAUAGCAAAAUUCUUUAGUGAUAAACUUCUAUCGCUCAUAGAUUAUUAUGGUCUAUCAUGAUUGAUUUUGACAGAUUUUGCUUUAUUUGUAAAUUUUUUAAAAUGUUGCUAUAUAUUUAAUUAUUUUAAAUUUAAUUACUAUAUUUGCAACUAUUCUUUUAUUUUGUGUGGUUCUUCUAUUAUUUGGUACACUUUAUAUAUUAUUAUUUUCUUUGGUUUUAUUAUAUUAUGAGAUAUAUUCUGUUAAUUUUGUGCAAAAUACUCUACACAUAUUUUACUUGCUAUAUGUUUCUUUUCUUUGAUUCUUCCAUUUAUCUUUUAAUUCUCUUUUGAAUAUUUAUUUUCUUGAAAAUCUUGGAUUGUAUUUUGUGGAUUUUUUUUCUUAACGUGCACUUCAUCUUUUGAGGUCAAAUGUUUAAUCUAUCAUUUGAUUUAUGUAUCAUGGUCUUAUUUAAGAACGGAAGAGUUCACUACAUGUGAAAAAUCAAGACUCUGUUUACGAACUCUUUCCAAAACACUUCUUGGACGUUUCUUUUUGUUUUUGUUUUUGUUUUUUUCUUUGAAAAAUAAGAUAUUUUACAAAACUUUUGAAAAACUGCAUGAGCAAGGAUGUUGGCCACACACAGGGCAAUGAGCAGCAAGGCAACAUGCACCAUGGUGCGCGGAAGAUGUUGUCUUGGUGCCAUCUUUGCACAUGCGGAAGCGAACUUUCAAAUGGCAUUUACAAAACAUUGGGGAAAACACUUUUUUUUCUUCCUAUUUUCUUCUAGAAAGUCUUUCCAGAACAUAUGUAUAUAUAUGUGUGUGUAUAUACAUAUAUAUUUGCAAAAUCUCUCGUUUAAAAGGUCUAUACAAGAACAUGUUCUAAAAGUUUUCUCGCUUCAAAUUCUGUUUACGAACUCUUUCCAAAACACUUCUUGGACGUUUCUUUUUGUUUUUGUUUUUGUUUUUUUCUUUGAAAAAUAAGAUAUUUUACAAAACUUUUGAAAAACUGCAUGAGCAAGGAUGUUGCCACACACACGGCAAUGAGCAGCAAGGCAACAUGCACCAUGGUGCGCGGAAGAUGUUGUCUUGGUGCCAUCUUUGCACAUGCGGAAGCGAACUUUCAAAUGGCAUUUACAAAACAUUGGGAAAACACUUUUUUUUCUUCCUAUUUUCUUCUAGAAAGUCUUUCCAGAACAUAUGUAUAUAUAUGUGUGUGUAUAUACAUAUAUAUUUGCAAAAUCUCUCGUUUAAAAGGUCUAUACAAGAACAUGUUCUAAAAGUUUUCUCGCUUCAAAUUCUGUUUACGAACUCUUUCCAAAACACUUCUUGGACGUUUCUUUUUGUUUUUGUUUUUGUUUUUUUCUUUGAAAAAUAAGAUAUUUUACAAAAUUUUUGAAAAAUUGCAUGAGCAAGGAUGUUGGCCACACACAGGGCAAUGAGCAGCAAGGCAACAUGCACCAUGGUGCGCGGAAGAUGUUGUCUUGGUGCCAUCUUUGCACAUGCGGAAGCGAACUUUCAAAUGGCAUUUACAAAACAUUGUGGAAAACACUUUUUUUUCUUCCUAUUUUCUUCUAGAAAGACUUUCCAGAACAUAUGUAUAUAUAUGUGUGUGUAUAUACAUAUAUAUUUGCAAAAUCUCUCGUUUAAAAGGUCUAUACAAGAACAUGUUCUAAAAGUUUUCUCGCUUCAAAUUCUGUUUACGAACUCUUUCCAAAACACUUCUUGGACGUUUCUUUUUGUUUUUGUUUUUGUUUUUUCUUUGAAAAAUAAGAUAUUUUACAAAACUUUUGAAAAACUGCAUGAGCAAGGAUGUUGGCCACACACACGGCAAUGAGCAGCAAGGCAACAUGGCCACACACUCGUUAGUUGUGAGCUCAACUGGGAUUGAGAGUACAAUUGUCCCGCAUAUCAUUCAUUCCAUUAGCUAAUCGCUUCUGUUGCGAUCCUUGGUGGUUCAACCCAUUUGUUCUUUCAUAUCAAUCGUAGUACAACCCAAUCGCUCUUAAGUUGACUUCUCAUACUUAUAGAUUAUGAUUCUCAAUUAUUUGGCUAAGAUAACUUCCAUCGUGGAGCCUCCCUCUACUCAUUCCAAUCACAUUUCUUAACUUUGGUUUCUCUCAUUAUUUGUUGUCAUUUGCUCAACAAGUAUUUAUAUAAAUCAUCCCAAAUCAACUCCCACUUUUCAGAUUUCCAUGGAUAUAAAAAGAAAUGGUGGCUCAUCAUUGGUACCAUUUCUUUUGUUGAUGGGCAUGAAUUACGGGUCAUUAUGAACUCACCAACAAGCAACCAACCAUUUUGACUCCUUGUUAGUACUUAAAAGUUAACAACUUUAAUCAUCUUCUACUAGAUAAAAUAAGUUGUGUUUUCAAAGUUCAUGUGUAAAGCAAAAGAGAUUGUCUUAUAGUGACUUUAACAUAGAUUACACUCCCAUUGUGAAAUAAUAUAUAACUAUAUUUAUAUCAACUAUAUAUUACAUAUAUAACAAAACCCUAAAAUAAAGUUAAGUUGUCCAAAAUAACAAACUAGCGUCCUCCUUGAAAAAUUAUAAAAAUUUCAAGUUAGAUUGUCUUGGAUUUUAGGAUGUAUUAAGGCUAUCUCCAUGUAUUAGAGAAUAUAAGAAAUUCUAUUUAACAAUUUAAAAAAUUAUAAGAUUUUUUUGUAGCCUUAUCCUUGCAAUUGAAGUAGGAGAUUAAAUCCGAAACUCUUGUCGAAAUUGGGCAAGCAUGCUAGCCUGAAAAGAUUGGUUCCGUCGGAAAACAAGAGGGGUUGGUCAAUAUCGGUUUCAGAAAGUUUCAAAUUGAAAACUUUAAAAAAUUAUUUAUAAGUCGAUCAACCCAAUUAAUAUCAACUGACACUUACUCAUCAAUGUCGAUUUUGUAAAAAAUACCAUCUCCGACCGACCGAUUAACACCGAAGUCGGGAACUUACGCAUACUAGAUAAGUGUAGAGUAUAUAUAUCUUUUUCAAAUUUGAUUAAAUUACCAAAUAUUAUAUCCAAUUCUCUCUACCCUUUUUUUAUCUGCGUUCCCGCCCGCCGCUCGGUGAACUCAUUUGCGCAGCUCUUUCCUCUUUCUCUUCUUUGUCUUCCUCUCGGCUUCACAAUCUUCAUCGUCAAUCUUUGAUCCAGCCUAAGAAGGCACUGUACAUUAUAGGGUUUUAAGUAGAAGGUGAGUUUUCAGAUUGCUUUUAUAUCUUCUGUCAAGCUAUGAUGCUUUUGGUACUUAUCGACCACUUUCUCAUGCAAGAAUAUUUGAGUUGAGAAUUAUUUGCUGAAAUUUUAUGGGUUUAUGGAGUAUUUUCUACUUUGUUUUGGCGGAGUUGAGUUUGCUUCUUAGGUGUAGAGAAGUUUGUUCAGUGUUGUUUUUGUUUUUGAGGCUACAACUCAAUGAAAAAACUCAUUGAGUUCAUGGAAUUAGGGUUUUAUCUUGUUUAAUGGGGAACAGGCAUGUUUGGUAUUGAUUUUGUGCAUUGUACUGGUAGUCGAGAUCGCAUUGCCAUCUUACAGUUGCUUAUUCUUUUUUUUCUUAUUUUCUUGAUAGUUAUUAGACAAUUGAAACCUCAUAAUUCAACCAAAAUGGCGGCCUUCAAUCUCGUUGCGGAUAUGUAUGACCCGGCCUUGAAGCCUCGCUUGCUACAUAAACUUCUUAGGGAGCACGUUCCCGACGAUAAGCGUGCAUUUUCUGAUUAUUCAGAACUUUCAAAUGUGGUUUCUAUGAUCACAUCCCACGAUCUUCUCUCUGAAUCCUCGUCUUCCAAGGACCAAAAGCUGAUUGAUAGCUGGAAAUCCGCUGUUGAUUCCUGGGUCAACCGUUUGUUUCUUCUUCUCUCCAACGAUAUGGUAUAAGCAUGCAUUAAAUUCUAUUUAAAUAAUUUUUUAAUAAUACAUAGCUUUUGCUUUAUACUCCCGUGGAUUUGACUAUUUGUCGGCUGCCGGCUUAUGUGUAGCUUGUUCGAAGAACAGCUGGAACGAAGUUCAGUGGAACUUGUUAAGUUUCAUAAUCAAUGAGUUCGCUGCUGGUUAUUGAGAGAAAAUUUAUAGUUAGUGUUAAUCUAGAAAGUUUGUCGCCUUAGAGCGCCCUUUGCGCUUUGAAAACACCGUUUAAUUCUUAGAAACUGAACAUUUGAACCUUGCUUGCAUAUUUGGCAAUUCAUUGGCAUGCAGGAAGAUAGGGAAUAAUAUUGACUGUCUUUAUUACUUUGUUUUUUAGAUAUUGCUCAACUUCCUUUUGUGGGUUACUAAUUUUAGCAUCCAAUCUUUCUAAAGCCUGAUAAAUGUUGGGCGGGAAUCAUUUUACUUGGAGUGACUUGUCAACGAUGCAGCUCUAGUCGUUUCUUGCAUCAUAUACAGAAUGGCUUCACAAGCUUUUACCUCACAUGCAGGUAACAGUUAGUUUUUUAUGGGAUUGAUUCUAUAUUAUUUCUUUACAUGUAUUAAGUGGCAAAAUGUUAAAUUAUAGUGUACACAUGAAGAAGAAUAAGAGUUAAAUGAUAAGUUAUUCCAUCAGAACUAAGAUACCGGUUACUGUUUGGGACACAUAACUGCAAUAAUUCAACUAUGCUUUUGAGCAUGUGAUGUGGCUGGAUCGUCUUUGACAGUCGACCUGUUUGACUACAGUAAAUAUGUUUGUUCUGAAAUUUGGGUAUGAUUGGUUGUAAGAUAUUCAUCAAAAUGAGUUCUGGACAUGAUUUGUGACAAUAAGUGAUUAUUGUUUCUUGGAAAGAAUGCAAAUCACGCAUUGGGGGUUUCCAAGCUCUUAUUCUUUUCAUUAAUAUAGGAUUGAACAAGUAAGAUAAACUACGGAUGAAAUAGCAGGUCUAACCAGCUCUCCUCGUACAUGAGGGUCCCCAAAGACAUGCAUCGGGCAUGUAUCUGAUUAGCAUAAGAUAGCCUUUGGCAACACUUAAUGAUUGUGGAGCUACUGAAGGACCUAAUGCACUGCUAUUCUUGAGCAUGGUUAUCUGAUAUUUUAUCAAGUGUUAUACAAAGUGCAAUUUUUUUUUCUUCUGAAGACACAAAAGAAUAUAUUCACAAAUAGUGUGUGACGUAGUUCCAGAGCAAUGUCAAGUUCCUUCUUUUUCUGUUCCUUUUAUUUAUAUUGUUUCUGUCUUUAGCUUUACAACUUAUAAUCAUCAAUGCUUUUUUUUAUACUUGAAUGCUACCAAGAAUUUUACAACGUUUUCAUUUUUUGUGUUUUUAUUGUUCAAUAGACAGAUUCUCAGUUUCUGAAGGUGGCCUCUUGUGCUUCAAUCUAUGAUUUAUUCUCGAGGUACAUCUUCAUUUGACCUUGGCAGAAAUCUAUCACACGAAGUUGUCCCUCAAACACAACCCUUUUUUUUAUUCGAAAUGGUAACAAUGUCAUUGAUAAGAUGAAAUUAUAAAAGGAUACCUAUCAAUUGGAUUACAAAAAACUCUUCCAUCGAGUAAUAAGAGAAACUAAAUCAUAAUUAUAAAAAGGGGUAACCAAUUCACCCCAAGUGAGGGUUGUAUGUGUCACUCAAACACAAAUUGAUUUGUUAACUAUACCCUUCCAAAAGCGAAAUUUUUAUGUGCCUUGUGUAUAUUUAACUGAAUACCUCUUAGGAUUUGUUUAUUGUUGAUUCUACAUCGACUUUGUGUCUGUGGAUUCAACUAUUGAAUGCUGACUUGAGAAUAAUAGAUAACUGAUUGAAUCACAUUCUGUAAGUUAUUACUGUCAAGUCGUUUUAUUGCCAAUAUGAGCAUAGAACUAUUGGUUAAGGCAUAUAUCCCACCUCCAUAUGUUGUUGAGCUUAAAAAUAAAAAUUGUCUAUUUAUUUAUUUUUUAAAAUAAAAUAACCACUUUCAUUGAGCAAAAUCAAAGAAAAUUGUCUAAAACUUUUAAGCAAUAUGCUUGACCAUAUUAUUGCUUGUUUCGUGACUUUUUAAGAUGUAUCUUUUACAAAUUAGAUUGGGUAGAUUUCAAAGUGUAAAGAAAGAUGGGACUUCUUGUGCUGGAAGGUCAUUCAACCCUGUUGCAUGAUGAUAAUACUGAAGCUGUUUUGGUAAGUCCAUUUUUCAUGGACUAUUUUCAUGCAUUCAUGAGCUAAAUAAUUUUGUAACAAUGGUAUUUUAAUUAUCUAUGCCAACUGAGAUCCUCUUUGUAAAAAUUUCUUAGUCUUUUGUGAAAUUUUUCAUCUCUCUUUUUGUACUCUUGCUUGGUAUUGGUAGUUGCAACUUUUGUUUUAAAAUAUGUAACUAUCUGCAUGUUGUUUGAUGCAGGAUAAUGCGGUUAAUCUGUUAUGCACCUUGAUAGAUUUCUUCCCCUUCACAAUCCAUCGUCAUUAUGACUCUGUAAGUGCUUUAACAAAUAAUGUGAUAUUGAUUCUGUUUUAAAUUACAAUUUUGGAACUCUGGUAGCUUUCUGACUUUUCUGUUCACUGGUGAUGUAAUCUAAGCUUCCGAAGUUUGUUAUUAUUAUCGUUAUUAUUUUUAAUUUGAUUUAGUUUAAUUUUUUUCCUUCACAAAAAAACUGCUAUAAAAAACUGGAAAGAGAGUGUUUGUAUUACCAUUAGAAGCUGAAAUAAUUAAAUUUUCUCCCAUAAUUGCACUCAACAUCUUCAGCACAUAUGGCUUCAUGCUGUCACUUGUCAGCAUGUUGUUUAUCUAUAGAUCACUAUCUUUGUAAUUCAAAAACUGACAAAGUUUAAAUUCCAUGCCAAAUAGAAAAAAAGGAUUUAUGUUGAAAUAGUUGAUUUUGUUUCUUCCUGAUGAAUUGGAUAUAUUCUAUAGGCCGAAGCUGCAAUUGUUUCAAAAAUAUUUUCAGGGAAGUGUAGUUCUAACAUGCUGAAGGUACUGUGCCUCUUAUGUAGUUUUAAUCAUAGUACAGUAGAUAUUAACGUCAAAUGUCCCCCAUAAUUUUCUCUGUGUUUUAUAUUUCAAAUUUAGAAGCUUGCCCAUUGCCUGGCAUCACUUCCAAAAUCAAAAGGAGACGAAGAUAGCUGGUCUUUACUAAUUCAGAAGAUUUUGUUAUCCAUCAAUAGUCACUUGAAUGAGGCCUUCCAAGGCAUCGGUGAAGGUAUACUGAACUGUAAAACAAGUAAAGCUAUCUCAAUUUAUGAAAAUGGUGACAAUGAUGCAUUUGAAUGUUUUUUGUAGAUUCAAAAGGCAUUGAAGUUGUAAGGUUACUGAUUCUACCAGGAAAAGAUCCUCCACCACCUUUAGGUUGUUGUUCACAAUCAGAAGGUUCCUUGGACAAAAUAAAAAAGAGCUCAGAGCGGAUGUUAACAUCUAGUAUUUCAACCUUGAUGGUUUGCUGUUCCACAAUGAUAACAAGUUCAUACAACCAUCAGGUAGCAACACGUCAUCCAUUUUUUUGUUAUGCUCAUAUUAAAAGAGGAAAUGUUCCCCUCUAUAUGAAUCUAUAUACAUCUACUGUGACACCUCACUUUCUUAAUUAAUAUAAUGAAAUAAAGAAAGUGGUGUUAAAUUGAUCUUUAUUUGUAUUAUAUCAGGUGGCAGUUCCCAUUCGCCGUUAUUAGCUCUUGUUGAGAGAGUGCUGACGAUGGAUGGUUCUUUGCCACCCACUUCAGUGCCAUUUAUGACAUCUCUGCAGCAAGAAUCAAUGUGUUUAGAACUUCCGGUGCUGCAUUCAGUCAGUUUGGAUCUCCUCGUUGCCAUCAUUAAGAGCCUUCGCAGGUGAGGCAUCUACUAUUCAACUACACGGACUAUAUACCAUAAAACCUUUAUGCAGACCCAGACUUUUUCAGUAAUCAAUACCCAUCCAUAAACAUAUCACAUGUGCUUUCUUCCACCUCUACAAGAUGCGAUCAACAAUGAUCUUUCAUGUUUAUAUGAAUACGAAAAUGAUCCAAUGGUAUACAAAGUUUCCACUUAGAUAAGUUGGGAAGAAAAUGUGUGAAGUCUAGCCUGUCAAUUGCCACUGAAAAAAAUAUGGAUGCCAUAUUUUUGUUUAUAUAAUUAUUAUUAAAUUCCUUUUCAGUCAAUUGUUGCCACAUGCUGCAUCAAUUGUACGACUCAUUGUGAAGUACUUCAAGAAGUGUGUCUCUGCAGAACUGAGAGUAAAAGUCUACGCAGUUGCUAAGUCAUUGAUGACGUCUUUGGGUGUUGGUAAGAAUUAUAUUGUGUUUCAUUUGGCAUGGAGAUAAUUAUAAUUAUUGUUUUAAUGUCUAUAUGGAAACAUUGUUUUGGGAUGUAUACUUAUUCAAUGCCGCAUUUGAAUCAGGAAUGGCUGCAUCUCUUUCUCGAGAUGUGAUUGACAAUGUACUAGGUGAUUUGAACCCUGUAAAUAAUGAGAGUUCUGAUCCAUCUAAUGUGAAUCCAAAGGACACGCAAAGAGAUUUACCGCAACACCAUAAUAAGAGAAAACGCCCUUCAGUUCCCACUUCCAUGAAAGGGCAGCACGAGAGGAAUGAACCAGAGGACAUUACCAGCAGCUGUAGCUAUACCUCAGUCCACUUGAGGAUAGCUGCACUUGAGGCUUUGAAGACUCUUCUUACAUCGGUGGGCAUUAUAUAUGUUAUUUGUCUCUUUGGUUAAUUAUUUUGCAUACGAAUUUAUUAAAAAAAGUUAUUAAUGGGAAUAUUUUUGGUUCAUUUGUGUCAAAUGGUUUUUAACUGCUGACUGCUUUAUUUAUUUAUUUGUUUGUUUGUUUUUCGUUGAUUAUUUGUAUAGGCUGGUGCUUUGAGAUCUGAAGAAGGAUGGCGUGCAAAAGUUGAACAUCUUUUAAUAACAACUGCAACAUCUUCUCUUCAAUGGCCACGAGCCUCGGACGACACCUUUUUCCAAGCCAAUGAAUCUAUUGAGGUUUGGGUGGAUUAUCAGUUGGCGGCAUUUCAUGCACUACUGGCUUCUUUUUUGUCUGCUGUCCAUGUACGCCCACUGGCUUUGGCUCAAGGUCUCGAGCUCUUUCGUAAAGGUAAAUCUCUUUUGAUAUUUCGUUUGAUCAUGUGGAAGGCUGGGUUUGAGAACGAGGAUGCUAGAUCACCUUAUUUAUGAGUCAAACUGAUAGGCAUUUUCUUCUUCAGGUAAACAAGAAAAUGGAACCAAACUUGGUGAGUUUUGUGCCCAUGCUCUCUUAGCCAUGGAGGUUCUAAUACAUCCGAGGGUCCUUCCCCUCUCGGAUUUCUUGCCAUUGCGCUUGAGCUCUCCUGAACCACAAGCUGCCUUUAAAUUCCAGGAAGAUCUGUACUUCAACAGUAACGAUUCUAGGAAAUUGUUGAAGGUCGGCCCGCAAAGCAUGGAGCAGAUGGCCUCCGAGGCUCUAAUUAGUGAUGAUGUGGUAGAUAACAAUGAAAUGACGUAUAGCACCUCAAAUGAUAUUGAAAAGGAGCCCUCUGCAAAUGGCAUAGCGAAUAUAGAAAUGCCCAAGAGAACCGAACAGGCCACUGCAGCAGCCAUCUCAGAAGUAGGGGUUGUAGCGGAAGAUGACGUUGAAUUUGCUAAUGCAAGUAUGAAUAGUUCCCCCAUGUCAUCAAAAUCAGAUAAAAUCGAAGAUUUUGGACGGGAUUCGAGCUCGAAUUUAUUGCUAGAAGAUGACUUUCCUGAUAUUAUUGAUGCAGAUCCUGAUACAGACUAUGAAGAGUGAAAAAGGUAUUGUCAAUCAUUGACUCAAUUUUGUAGUUUUAAGGCUUAAGGGUGUUGUUCAGAACUCAAAAUCAAUUAUUAUUGUUGUGUUCUAUUCAUGUAGCCAUAGAUGGCUUGAACUGAUGAUCGAGAAUGGUUAUGUAUAUAAAAAGGUGAAAGUUAGACAAAUUUCAAAAGCUUUGAUUGCUAGUUUCUGAUAAAUUUUCUUUCAAUCAUUUUUAUUUUUUUUCAUUCUUAGAUAAUGGGGUGCCGAUUUGCAAUAUACGUUAGGACAACGAUUAGAUGCAUUAUAGAAUAUACCAUCUUUUAAGUAAUGGUAUUAGAUACGGUAGGACAACGAUUAGAUGUAUUAUAGAAUAUACCAUCUCGUAAGUAAUAUGGUAUCUUUUUGAAGUCCUAAAAUGUUGAGGGAUAAAUUUGUGGGUAUUACAAUCUCGAGAUGUAGUUAAGAUCAACAAUAUCUAAAUAGGCAAUUAAAUAAACAAUGUCUAAAUAGACGAUUAAAUGAACCCUUUAGAAAGAGAGGCAAAAAUAAAAUGACAGAGUGAAGUUUCUUUAAAAAAACUUUUUAAAAAUUAUUGUUUUGAUAAUAACUGAUCGUAGUUAACUACUAGUGCUCAGUCUCUUUUUACAUCUUACUCUAACUUAUCAUCAUGUUUGAAUCAAUUUUUAACUUAUCAUCAUGUUUGAAUCAAUUUUAGGGUUAAGUGAAUGUCAAGUGAAUGUAUUUUGUUCUUACAACAUAUGUGUUAAGUGAAUGUAUUUUGUUCAAACUCAAUUAAUUUAGGAAAAAUGUUUUAAAUAAAAAACUAUUUAAAACAUUUACAAAUAUUAAAAUUUAUAUGUUUAUUAGUAUUUUUGUUAAUUAAUUUUGAAAUUUUAGUCUGUUUUGUAAAUAUGGUUUAUUUUGCUAUUUUGAAAACAAUCCAUUUGAAUGUUGUUUUGUUUAAAUUAUUAGAAUUGUAUUAUUGGAUAAAUAGACAUUUUAAAAAAUAGCAAAAUAUUAAAACUAUUUAUACAAAAUUCCUCAAACUUUUCAUAUAUUUAAGUUUUUCUUUAAAAUUAUAUUUCAUAAAUAGUUUUUUUUUAUCCAUAACAAAUUUUCAUGAUAAAUGGUAAAGCAUAUUAAAUAUGUAAAUAGUUCAACUCAGUUAAUUGUAAUUUGGUCCAUAUCAUACUAAAAAAGUUAUAUGUAUGUUAUUUUAAAAGAGUUCAUAUCAUACAGUUUCUUAAAUUUUAGGUACCAAACUUAUAAGAUACAAAAAUCAAAGUUUAAAAAUAGAAAGUAAAUAUUUUGGCAUUCUAUUUCUAGAAAAAAAAACUCCUUAUAAUAAUUACUAGUAAAAAAAAAAGUUGGUUGAUUUUCAUUUUUUUUUUAAUCUCAACCUUUCAUGUUAAAACUUUAUAUAAAGAUUUUUUUUUAAAUGACAAAUUUAACAGUAAGAUUUUAUAUUAUAUCAAUUUGAUAAAUAUUGAUAGACAUUAAUAUGAUAAUAAAUAUGGAUAGAUAUUCAUAUGUUUUUAUCUGACAAUAAUAGAAGUUUAUUUAGUUUAUCUCGUUAAUAAAAUCUAAAAUGUUUGUCUAUGAUGAAUAUUUUAGUUUAUUUUUGUAUUUUAAAAAAUAUCCCUCCAAAAAACGUAAUUUUUUUCCACUAAAAGUUAUUAAAAUUUAAUAACAAGAGUUGGUGAAUUGCUACAUUGUUAUUUCAUUUAUAUGUCAUUUACAUCCCAUUGUAAUUUACAGAUUUUUUUUUUCAAAUGGUAUGGGUAAGUAAUCAGUGCGGUUUAGUGUAAGGAUUAGUUAUAUUCAAAUUAUAGCAAACUAUCUUAAUUUGAAACUUAACGGCGUCAACGACAAGCAACGGCUACAUUUUUAGGUUUAUUUACUUCAUUCAACUCUCAAAACAAUCUCCGUCGCCAAUUUCUCUCUAGAAUUUUCUUCUUCCGCCUCCGUGCACAGCGUCGAAUCUCCAAACCCUAAUUUAUAAAUGCAAUUCCGAUCCACAAAUUCUUAUGCUACCUCGAUCUCCUCUUUGGGAGCUUCUAUUCCCUAAUCUUUGAUGUCUUGCUUCGUCUGCGGUUGAGGAUCUCGGAGGACCGGAGUCACGGGAGGUCGCUGAUUUGGAUGAAGCCAUGAGUCGAUUGAUGCUCCCUUUUUCAUCUCCUAAGAAGAAUUCCAAAUCCUUGGAUGUGGCUGAUGCUGCUCCUGCCUAUCAUUUUUCAUCCGCUUGAUUUCCUUCCCUUUCUGGUUCAGCUUAUUCUGCUCUCGAUAGGGUUUCCGAGGAUGCUAUCAAUCAGGUUGAUCAGUUCCUUCGUGAGGCUUUGCAUAACCCUCGGAGCGUCUAUCAAGUAAGUUGUUUAUUUAGCUUUCCUUUAUUGUAGAUGGUCAAUGGUGUGAUUGGUUUCAGGAGUUGUCUAAUGUCAUGUUCUGUAGAGGGAGGAGAUAGUUAAAAGUUGCUAGCUACGGCCUUCUCGAAGGUGGGCUGGAAGUGGCUGGUUGCUUCCCGGAUUUGUAUAGGCAGUUUAAAUCAAAUGGUAUUAGAAAUUUAGAAGUAUUAUUGCCAAAAACUACAUGGUGGAUUUCAUGAAGAUGUGAUAUAUGUUUGGAACAGUAUCGUGAAACUAUGUGACAUGAUGUGCUUUUAGGUAAUCCAAGACAAAGGUUGGAUGGUUGUAAGACAAUCUUGGGAAGAUGUGUGGACUAGUGGAGGGUUUUUGGUUAACCGUUUUUCUAGUCGGUACAGGGUGGUGGAUUCGAAGAAUUAAUUGCUGAAGGAGUUGUAGGACUUAAAAGCUGGGUUGCAAAAUGAAUGCAAGACGAAAUUUAGAAGAUGGAGAAGAAAGGGAGAUUUUGUUGCUAUUGGAUGUUCUGAAUACUUAGAGCUAAAUGAUGAAAAUAAAAUAAUUUACGAGCUAAACUUUUGCUGUGAUUGGCGAUGAAUUCCGUCAUGGGGGAAGGCAUGCAGUCUCUGAUUAUCAUCCCCUUGGCCCUUAGGCUUUUUAAAUGAGGCUUUUUCCGUCUUAAUAAUAUUUCUUGUUUCUCAUCAAGAAGAUAAAUGGAGUUAUCUUUUCAGCCUACCAAGCAAAAUUGUUUCUAAAAAAAAAACUAUCACUAUCUAAAAGCAUUAGGAAUUAAAUUUACUGUAGUCAAGAAGAUGCUCAGUAACUGGAAAGCAUUUUUUACCUGUUUUGACACUGAAGCUUCGUUAAACCAAAAGAAAAAGGAGACAACCUAUUGGUAGAAAGGUCUUUACAAUGAUGUAUUGAUGCCUACAAAAUUAUUUUUUUUGUCUAACAUGGUUCUGACUAGUACCAUAACUUCAAGUGCUUAAUUAUUAUCAUGCACUUAUUAUAUUGUUGAAAACAUGGUGUUAAUUAUCUAUUCCCUUC
rnacentral:lncRNA from 1 species